rnacentral:rRNA from 1 species
GACGAACGCUGGCGGCGUGCUUAACACAUGCAAGUCGAACGGAAAGGCCCUGCUUUUGUGGGGUGCUCGAGUGGCGAACGGGUGAGUAACACGUGAGUAACCUGCCCUUGACUUUGGGAUAACUUCAGGAAACUGGGGCUAAUACCGGAUAGGAGCUCCUGCUGCAUGGUGGGGGUUGGAAAGUUUCGGCGGUUGUGGAUAGACUCGAAGCUUAUCAGCUUGUUGGUGGGGUAGUUGAUUACCAAGGUUUUGACGGGUAGCCGGCCUGAGAGGGUAACCGGCCACAUUGGUACUAAGAUACGGACCAGAAUCCUACGUGAGGCAGCAGUGGGGAAUAUUGCACAAUGAGCCGAAGCCUGAUGCAAAAACGCCGCGUGCGUAAUAACGUCCUUCGGGUUAUAAACCACUUUCGCCUUUAACGAAGCGUUAGUGACGGUAAUUAAUAAAGAAGCACCGGCUAACUACGUG